GUGAGCUUUACAUUUAGAGGUGAAUUCUCAUAAAACUCAUUUCCAUAUUUUAUACAUUUUAUACUCCUAAUUCUUCUGCAUCUUGCCCAAAAAUGUCAGGGUUUUGAGUUAUUCUCCAUUAAGCACUGUUAGUUAUUUAUUGUAUAUAUCUUAGAAUAGCUUUUUCCCCCAUUAGUUAAGGUAGCCAGGAAAGUUGCAUCCCUUGGCCUGGAUGAAUAUUUUCCUAAACCAGUCCUUUACUGUUCAAGUGGUGGGGCUGGGGAAAGGAAAUCAGAUAUUGAAAAAGGUGAUCAGAAUCUCUUUGCAGGGCUUUCUUUGUUCCUGGAUGUUUGUGUUGUGUGCCCAUCUGUCCUUUUUAACUGACAGCCAAGAAAUUUGUUUAAAGUAUCAGAGAUGUGACAUGUUAUGUCAAGCAGUGCCAGGACACUAUAUAUGCAUGAUAUAUGAACUGGUGAUAUAUAUUGUUUCACUGACUCAAUCCAAGUAAUGUUCCAGUGUGAUAUGUCAUCCAGCACAUUUCACAAAAAGAAAUGUUAAUGUUACAGUUUAGAUAAAAUAGCUUGGGAAGAAUGUAGAAAAACCUUAUGCCCAAUUACGUGUUCGUUGGUCACUUCCAUAGGAAUUAUUUGGCAUAUUCAUCAAAAACAAUUAAUAGUUUUAUUUGUAAUAAUACAUAGGGAUAAGGAGUUACUCAAAGUCUUGCCAGAUUUUUAAUUCAGAGUUUUUAAUGAAGGUGCCAACCACUCUCUGUCAUUUAUUUAGGGGAAUUACCAGCUCAAGCAAACAAAGGAUGUACAAUAUAUAGAGCAUGUGACAAAAAUAAUAAUAAUGGGGAACUGACUUGUUUGUCCAUAGUGGAGAAUGGGGAUGUCCUCAAAGCAGACUGCUUUUUAAAAAAAAAAAACACUGCCCCUCCUUUCCCCACCAAAAAAAGCCCUUCAGUGUUUGUGGUACAAUUAGCUGUGGGUACAAAUACUAGCAUUAGGUAUUUAAUUAUUGAUUGCACUCUCAAAUUAAGUAGUUAGAUGUCAAACUACUAGUAUUUUCACCUUUAAUAGUAGAUGCAAAAUUGCAGGUCAAAUUGAGGUCCCUUAAAAACAAAUAAACAAAAACCUAGGCAUUAAUGUGUAGGCUACAAUAAUUGUGCUUAGCUAUUGAGCAUUAUGGGAGAUCAGUGUUAAUACAAAAAGGAAUAAGACUUAUACAUUUAUCAUUAUAAUACAAAGAUUACAUGCCUCACAAGAUUUCUGACCACUUGUAAACCAAUUACAAGCACAGUUCUUGAGAUUUUAGGAUGCAGAAAAUGAAGCUGGGAUGAUGUGAGCCUUAUUUCGUGGGAUACAGAAUGAGAUUUACAAACACCCCCCCACCCCCAAAACAAACCAGUGAAACAAGACAUACUACCUCCAGAGCAGAGCAAAAUUUUCCAUAAAGUCCACUAAAUAUCUCAUUUUUGCCAGUCUAAUUACUAGGAGGCAUCCAGAUAUAGGUAAUCAAUCAACCUCCACAGAAGAGCGUUCCCAAUCCAACUGAAACUAAAAGUGAGAAGGAAGAAGAAUCAGAGAGACAUGAAUCAAGGCUCAGAAAGGGGAAAAGGAAGAGAGUUUCCAAGUCACAACCCUACUAUCCUGUUCAAUGAGGGCCCUACAAUAAAAUAUGACCAUUUCUUUAUGGUGUUAAAAUGGCUUGAAGCUUCCCACCACACUGGAAAAGCAAGAUACUGUUUCCUCUGAGAGGGUGUUUGUUGUUAUUAUUAUUUAUUUUCCCCAUUAACUACUGGAUAUAAAGUCAAUUGAAUUUAACAGAAAGACAUCUGUUGGUUUCAAGGGGCUUGGAAUCAGGCCCCAAGGGAGCAACUGCUAUUGGACUUUCAUUCUGACAUUGGAGGACAAUCCAGCUACUUCCAGUGUUCCAGUACAAAAUUUGGUACAGGUAAGAGCUGUGUAUAUAUCAUGGAGAUAUCCUCAUCAAGGGUGAGGAGGCAGAAUUUCUCAGAAGGGAUAAUACUUCUGAGAUGUAGGAGCAGAUGCUUGUCCCCAUAUGGACAAUCAUGUGAUUGGAUCAAAGAAGGCAUGUAAAUGGCUGUAUCUCCAACAGGUUACAAUAUACUGACAUCUAAUACAAUCUCUUCAUAAUUUUAUUUUGGAUUAGAUUUGGUUUAGAAAUGGAUCUGAUACAAUGCAUCUUUAUCUUCACGCAAGUGGUGCUCUGGGAGAUUUCAAGUUGUUCAUUACAAUUUUUUGUGGAUUGAAAAAAGAGGAUGAACAACAGAUGACAUUUAGUCAUUGUAACAUUGGUCAACAAAGUAUGGAAGUCUAUCUGCUUUUUCUUCUACUCCUUGGGAAUAGUUUGACUUUCUUAAACAAUAUGGCCAAAUCAAAUGUUCCUAUCCAUCCUCAUUGUCCCUGGUACUUACGAGUGUGCACUGUGCAUGAAAAAAGGAAGGGGAAGUGGAACUCCCUUUCCUUUGCUAAAUGAAAAGGUAACAUUGCCACUUUGUUCCCUCUUACUGGGGCUGGCUGGAAAGCCACUCCACUCUGCAGGCAGUCCCAGAAAAUGGGUGGGCUGGGAGCAGAUACUGCAGUGAUGUGGCACCUACUCUUCAGGCGGCAUCUCUCUCUCAUUGGUCCCUGAUGAAUCUGAGCCACCAUGGAGAAUCAACCAGGAGGCAGACCAGGGCAGUGGUACAGUAUAGAAGGUGUGUGAGAGCUACUUAUGAACCUUAACUCCAGGGCCUAAUACAAUGACCCUGAGCUUGACUCUGUGAGAUGCUUUCUGAAAAAUCCUGGAGAGAUAGAACUCUGGCCUGUACUUCAGCAGCGUGUUAAAUGGAAGGAAAAGGAGUAUGCCUAAUUUACUCUGCUAUCCCAGUUACAUAAGCACCUAGAGAAAAUAAACAGACAGAAGUGACCAGCCCUCUGUGAAGAAAGAAGUGGUUCGGGACUAUUUAGAAAAGCUGGACGAGCACAAGUCCAUGGGGCCGGAUGCGUUGAAUCCAAGAAUGCUAAAGGAGUUGGCGAAUGUGAUUGCAGAGCCAUUGGCCAUUAUCUUUGAAAACUCAUGGCGAUCGGGGGAGGUCCCGGACGACUGGAAAAAGGCUAAUGUAGUGCCCAUCUUUAAAAAAGGGAAGAAGGAGGAUCCUGGGAACUACAGGCCAGUCAGCCUCACCUCAGUCCCUGGAAAAAUCAUGGAGCAGGUCCUCAAGGAAUCAAUUCUGAAGCACUUAGAGGAGAGGAAAGUGAUCAGGAACAGUCAGCAUGGCUUCACCAAGGGCAAGUCAUGCCUGACUAAUCUAAUUGCCUUCUAUGAUGAGAUAACUGGCUCUGUGGAUGAGGGGAAAGCAGUGGACGUGUUGUUCCUUGACUUUAGCAAAGCUUUUGACAUGGUCUCCCACAGUAUUCUUGCCAGUAAGUUAAAGAAGUGGCUUUAAGGUCUUUAAGGUCAGGCAUGACAAAGCCCUGGCUGGGAUGAUUUAGUUGGGGAUUGGUCCUGCUUUGAGCAGGGGGUUGGACUAGAUGACCUCCUGAGGUCCCUUCCAACCCUGAUAUUCUAUGAUUCUGUGGUAUGCAAGUAAGAGCAGAAAAUGUUAAGUGAACUUUCUGAACUCACCAAAAUGUUUGAUUCAGUUUCUUUGAUCAGUAGCAGUACAACUGUCCUAUUUAAUCAUUUCCUGCCUCUGGGCUUCCAACAGCUCUGUCUAUUUUUGUACAGUGCCUAGCACAAUGAAAUGUUCUCAAUAGCUCUUUUGUGCUACUAUGACACAAAUAAAAUUUUUUCUGGGCCUUGAACAAUGUACAUAUAGUUCUUAUGCGCUGUGGCACACAUUUCAGUCAGAGGCAUAUGAAGCACCAGAGUUCAUGAGAAAUGAAUCAGAAUGAAUCCACAGCAGAAACUCAUCUGGGCCCAGUAAUGUAAGGAGAGUUGGAGAUCUUGCAGGAAGGGAGGCCUGCUGGCAGGCUAGCUGAAGGGACAGAGAAGGUUAGUUAUAGAGAAGAAAUUUUUUAAAAAAUGAAUUUCUU